ACAUAGUAGAAGAAGAAGAAGAAGAAGAAGAAGAAAGACAAGAAUAAGAAGAUGAAGGUGGUUGUCUCGUGGUGAUAUUGUCGAACGCGGAAGAUGUCUAAGCCCGAACUCAAGUCCGUAUCUAAGCAAGCCUCCGGUCUCCGGAGGUCCCUUUUUUUUCUAAAUUGUAUCUAUUGGCUCGUAGCGAUUGAAAGUAAUUGAAUGAAGCGGCCGGUUAUUUACGAACGUUUAAGCCGAGCCAACUAUCUGUCCAUUCAUUCGGUCUUGUCCCUUCAUUCAUUCAUCAUUCACUCUCGACCGGUGUACGGGUGCUGCAUGUAUAGCAGUAGUAAAGGCCCAUUCAAUUGAUCGGUGAUUGUCUAAAUUAUAAGAUUGCCAUACAAUGGCUCUCAUCUCGACCUAUUGGGGUCCCGUUCGCCCCGUUGCGUCACCACUUUAGGACCGGAUCGUAAGCGCGAACAUAUUAAAAUGCCUUACCUAUGAAAAAUCGGACACGCAUGAGAGUGAGAGAUACCUUAGGACAAGGAUCAUCCUCACUGAUGCUUGCUUGGUCCUAAGAUUUUGUCGUGCAUUCGAUCCGCAGAUUGAUUAUUUGAACAAGAAAGACAAAAAAAGAAAAAAGAAAAAAAAAAAAAAAGAAUAAGACAAAUAGAAGAAAGGGAUGAAAGACGACGACGAUGACGAUGGAUUUUCUUUACGUAGAAAAUAUAAUCCAUUUGAUAGUCACGUUUCAAAGAAACAUCGUUCGUGGAUACCACUGGCCGAUUUUCUCUCGUCGAUCUCUCCGGAGAUUUGAUAAUCCAAGGAAUUACGAUAACUCGAUGAUACGUGGGAAAUCUCUUACUACACGUCAUUAUCGCUUACUCUUGUUUUCAUUCAUCUCUAUUCUAUCGUAUAAUACAAUGAGAAGAUUUUCAUUACUUAUCAUCAUCAUCAUCGCGUUCUCUAUAAUCGUCUUUUAUUCGAAUGUUUCUAAUGAACAAUAAUAAUUCUUUAUACUAUACAAUAUCGAUAAGAAAUUUGGAUAAUAAUUUGUUAAUUUCCUGCAUGAUUUUACGAAUCUACCAUGGAAUUAAAAAGUAAUAUUUAAUGACAUUAAUAUUUAUCGUAAUUGUUUUAAAUUAUUAUAUUAAAUGUUUUUAAUGUAAAUAGGAAAUGACUCGAUUUUUUUCUCUCUCUUUUUGUCUCAAUAUAUUUAAAAAAAAGCAAAAGGAUUUUGAUGUCGCUUCUCUCUCUCUCUCUCUCUCUCUCUCUUCUCUGUAUCCGCAUCUGUAUCUGUCUAUGCGUACGCAUGCUAAUCCUCGAAAAUAGGCUUAAUUACAGACGCUUCGGAAACAGGAUAAUGGUGGCACACGCGUAUAUGGCCAUCUCGUGUCCGGCUAACUAGACUGGCGCUCCCGCGAAAUCGGUUUAUCGUUUCUGAGGAAAAGUUCCUUCGAAUUCUAACCGAAUCCGUCAGUUAGCUUACACCAACGACUGUGACGGAACUUCUCCAUGUGCUGUUCGGUCACUUACGUAUUACGCCUGGAGAAGUGCAACCCGUUGUCAGACCAACUUGCAACCAUUAAUUAGCAUUUGCCGCUCUCUAUUUCUCUCCCCCUCUCUCCCUCUCUCCCUCUCUCUCUCUCUUUCUAUCUCUAUAUCUACAUCUCUCUAUCUCUCUUAGAGUCAAAAAUGUAUUAUCUUGUACGGUGAAUGAUUUAAUUUUGAUGAACUCAAUGAAGAAUUCUGAGCUUGGUUCGUUAAAGACGAAUCGAUAAAUUUAUAUCAGAACGAUUAAUCAUAUAUAGUUAAUCGUUCAUUCAUUCAUAUUAUAUUCAUUCAUUCAUUCAUUCAUUCAUCGUUGGAAUCAAUGUAUGAAUUUAAUUUUAAUACGAUUACGAUCGGUACGAUUUGAAGAUCAAUUAAUAUUUCCUCCGUCGAGUAAAUAGGACCUUGAUAAUUAUUAAGAAUAGAUCCGUUUCGAGGACAUGGAUGAAGAAUAGCUUUAGACUCGAAGAUGUUGUAUCUUGAGGAAAGGUAAAAAAAAAAAAAAAAAAAAAAAAAAAAAAAAAAAAAAAAAAAGAAAAAAAAAUGAAAAAAAGAAAAAAACAUUAGACAAGGACGGACAGGCAUGCGGUAGUAAUUUUGUAAAGAAAUCAACGGUAAUUACGAUAAACGUUUCAUGUUACGCGCAUCGAAAGUUAUAAGAAGCGAUCAGUAAAAGCGUUCGCUCGAGACAUAAAGAUGAAAGAGAGAGAGAGAGAGAGAGAGAGAGAAAGAUUCUAUGUAUAAAGGGAAAACAGCUGGCAUUAAUGUUUUACAAAUCGUGAGUCGUAUAUGCGUACGUAUAUAAUACGUUGUCGUGAAAUAAAUUGACGAGAUUGCCGACAUUUACAAAUAUCUUUAUCUAAAAAUUACUGAAACGGAAGGAUUAUAACAACGAGAUCUCCUAUAUACUUCUAUCUCAGAUCUAAUAAUAUUAAAACUAAUUGAUGAUGGUUCGAAGCUGGAAUGAAUGAUCGGAUUUAUUUAAUCAGUGAUUUGGAUGUAACGUUUGAAUAUUCUAUGUAAAUUGGAGCGACGACUAGUUGAAGACUAGGAAACGUUCUGUUCUUUUCGUAGACGCGAAAGCGGGAACGAGUUCGCGUUUUGCGGCCGUGCCGCGCGUAAACGAUCGUAAAGCAAAGCGAUCUUUGGUUUUCCUCUCUCUCUCUCUCUCUCUCUCUCUCUCUCUCUCUCUCUCUCCAUUUCCUUCUCUUGAAAGAGCGUUCCCGCUUCGUGCCGUAACUCGCGUUACUCGCGUAAAGCCGUCGAAGUUAUCUGUGCAUCGAGCGUGAGUACAUUCUAAGUACGCAUAAAUACAGCACUGAAUGCCGCUCACCGCGGCUUGUAUUUAAAUGUGAGCACGAGAGGAGGAUCCUCCUUCUCCUCCCCCUCCUCUUCCUCCUUCACCUUCUCUUUCUCCCCUCCUUCUCCUCCUCCUCCUUCUUCUUCUUCUUCUUCUUCUUCUCCUCUUAGUCGCACGCGCGCGCACUCACUCGGUUACUCGCAAGAGUAUAUAAGAAAUAGAUGGAAGGAUUACAUAGAGACGACGAGCUUGUACGCAUCGUUCGACACGAAACGCCAACCGUAGUUGAGUAUACAUAUAGAGAUGUACGAUCGAGCGAGCGAGUGAGUGAGUAUCAAGCGGAUACGCACGCGUGUUCGGAACGACGAUAUGGAAUUCAUUCUCAACGGAAGACAAGCUUCGAGUUUUUGUCAAAUGAUUUCAUUUAAGAUUAAAAUGUACGUUCGGAAGAAAAUUAACCUGGAUGGUUGGAGGAAGAACUCUUUUUGUGACUGAGAACCACGGAACUUUGGUGCACGAGCACCGAUCAAACUUACGAUAAUAUUUAUUAACCCUAAUUAGGACACCUACGCGUAAUCCGGUUCGCUAAUAUAACGAACUUUGUUAAGCAUAUAGACUUUCGGAGCGAACAACGAAAUUUUGUGGUAAAGUAUUUAAAUGCCAAGUACGAGAAAGCCAUGACAGCUGGGAAGCUUAUAAUCCUAAGCUACCUCUUUGUUUCUUAUAUUGUCUCGUUUUAUUUUUUCAUUGUUUAUUCUUCGUUUCAUUUAUUUUUCUCCAUUUGUUUAUUUAUUUAUUUUUUUUUUUCUUUUUAAUUUAUUUUUCUCUUGCUUUUAUUUUAUUUUAUUAUUUUUUUUUCUUUUUCCUUUUUAUCGCCUCGCACACGCACAUUUAUUAUGAACGAAUUUAUCGAGAAAUAUCAACGAAACGAGCUAGACGAUUUAGAGGAUCCAAGGUGCACGUGCUUUAAUUGGAAGCUUUCGUGAGUCAGCGUCCAAGCGUGAGUAACUCGUAUGUUUCUGAGAUUUGCUGACAAAAUAAACAUUUCGCUUAUUUAA